GAUGAAGAACGUAGCGAAAUGCGAUAAGUAAUGCGAAUUGCAGAAUUCAGUGAAUCAUCGAAUCUUUGAACGCACAUUGCGCCCGCUUGUAUUCUGGCGGGCAUGCCUGUCUGAGCGUCAUUUCAACCCUCGCCCCCGGCUUUUGCUGGGAGCGGUGUUGGGGAUCGGCCGCCCGUCACUGGGAGGCCGGCCCCGAAAUAGAGUGGCGACCACGCCGUGUGCUCCUCUGCGUAGUAGUAAAUCACCUCGCAGGCGGACAGCGGUGCGGCCUGCCGUAAAACCCCCAACUCUUUCUGGUUGACCUCAGAUCAGGUAGGAAUACCCGCUGAACUUAAGCAUAUCAAUAAGCGGAGGA
rnacentral:misc_RNA from 1 species